rnacentral:rRNA from 1 species
UAGGGAAUCUUCGGCAAUGGGGGGAACCCUGACCGAGCAACGCCGCGUGAGUGAAGAAGGUUUUCGGAUCGUAAAGCUCUGUUGUUAAGGAAGAACGAGUGUGAGAAUGGAAAGUUCAUGCUGUGACGGUACUUAACCAGAAAGGGACGGCUAACUACGUGCCAGCAGCCGCGGUAAUACGUAGGUCCCGAGCGUUGUCCGGAUUUAUUGGGCGUAAAGCGAGCGCAGGCGGUUAGAAAAGUCUGAAGUGAAAGGCAGUGGCUCAACCAUUGUAGGCUUUGGAAACUGUUUAACUUGAGUGCAGAAGGGGAGAGUGGAAUUCCAUGUGUAGCGGUGAAAUGCGUAGAUAUAUGGAGGAACACCGGUGGCGAAAGCGACUUACUGGGCUCAUUCUGACGCUGAGGAACGAAAGCGUGGGUAGCAAACAGG